CGGUGUUCAACUGGCGUGUCCGCGGGACGUCCUGCCGGUGGGCUUAGCCCGCAAGGGCGGCCCAACUUCAAAUCCCAUCGCGGUGCUCUUCACUGAGUGUCGAGGUGGGCCGGCACGUUUACUUUGAACAAAUUAGAGUGCUUAAAGCAGGCUAAAACUUCGCCUGAAUACUGUGUGCAUGGAAUAAUGGAAUAGGACCUCGGUUCUAUUUUGUUGGUUUUCGGAACCCCGAGGUAAUGAUUAAUAGGAACGGAUGGGGGCAUUCGUAUUGCGACGUUAGAGGUGAAAUUCUUGGAUCGUCGCAAGACGGACAGAAGCGAAAGCAUUUGCCAAAAACGCUUUCAUUGAUCAAGAACGAAAGUUAGAGGUUCGAAGGCGAUCAGAUACCGCCCUAGUUCUAACCAUAAACGAUGCCAGCUAGCGAUCCGUCGACGUUCCUCCGAUGACUCGACGGGCAGCUUCCGGGAAACCAAAGCUUUUGGGUUCCGGGGGAAGUAUGGUUGCAAAGCUGAAACUUAAGGGAAUUGACGGAAGGGCACCACCAGGAGUGGAGCCUGCGGCUUAAUUUGACUCAACACGGGAAACCUCACCAGGCCCGGACACCGGAAGGAUUGACAGAUUGAGAGCUCUUUCUUGAUUCGGUGGGUGGUGGUGCAUGGCCGUUCUUAGUUGGUGGAGCGAUUUGUCUGGUUAAUUCCGAUAACGAACGAGACUCUAGCCUGCUAACUAGGCGUAUUUUCGACAUCUCAAAGGUCCGUCGUCCCGGCCCUCGGGUCGUGGGCGUGCGCGAUUUUUACUGUCGGCGUACUAUCAAUUCUUCUUAGAGGGACAGGUGGCUUCUAGCCGCACGAGAUUGAGCAAUAACAGGUCUGUGAUG
rnacentral:rRNA from 1 species